rnacentral:sRNA from 1 species
GCCAGGUGCGGUGGCACAUGCCUGUAAUCCCAGCAACCCAGGAGGCUGAGGCAGGAGGAUCACAAGUUCAAACCCAGCCUCGGCAACUUAGUGAGGCCCUAAGCAAGUUAGUGAGACCCUGUCUCAA